rnacentral:lncRNA from 13 species
AUGGCCUCAGCGCUAUCCCUGGAUGACCAGCACUACACCCAGCAGAACUGCAGCAGUGCUUUGCUGGCCAGGGCCUAGAGCCACAGAAUACGCUCCCGUGACCCUCAGGGACAGAUGCAGAGUUACGGAGACUUACUCUUCUCCACCAUCAAAGCACGGUGAGUUUACUCCCUCUCUCACCUAAGGAUCCUCCCUGAAUGGGCCUGGGUCUGCUGCUAACACAUCUCAGGAGCGCCAGCCUCAGCCCCCACUCCCAGCGCCUUGGUAAAGGUGAGCGCUACCGGAAAGAUUGCGCAUGGGGCAAAAGCAGCUUCUGAGGGCCUCUCGAAGUGCGGCCCUGCCUUCUUGGCAGUGAGAAGUGUAUGCCCCCAACCUCCACUUAGCUCUUAGUACUGGGGCCAGAGUAUCCUGGGUGUAAGAUAGAGAUGAAUCUUCUCCACGCCACAAGGCCCUGAGGAUCAUACACAACAGUGCCCCUAAAGCGCCCGGCACAGCACCUGACUAGAGCACACGGGCAACGCAAGCGACAGACGGGAGCUGGGAGAGUUUCCUGUGGCUGCCGGAACAAACAAUUACAAACUGGGCGUGGUGACGGGCGGUCACGCACCUGACCUUUACCUUCUCACCAUUCUGAAGGCCGGAAGUCUGAGAUGCUGUUGCCAGCAGGGCCACACCCCCUGAGGGCUCUGGGGAAAGAAGCAUCCCGGCCUCUUCCGGCUCCUGGUGGCUCCAGGCUCCUGGGAUUGUGGCUGCAUCGCACCUGGCUCUGCCUCUGUCUUCACGUGGCCUCUCCCCACGUGUCUUUUCCUCUCCUCCUUAGGACACUUGUCAUUGGAUUUAGGGCCCCCCAUAGAAUCCAGGAGGGCCUCCUCUUCAGAUCCUUAAUGACAUCUGCAAAGACCCUUCAUCAAAUAAGAGGUGCUCCUGGGUCCCCAGCAACAGAUUGGGUGUUCAACUGUGCCCCUGUUGGCCUCCACGUGAGCCCUGAGGAAGAAACUGUCCCCAUAAGGGCACAAGGCUGGUGGCCAGAUCUGCAGCUAGGCCGGGAUGCGGCUCCCAUGCGGCCCCAGUGCCUCUGCAGUGCCUGUCACCCUGGGCUGUCUCUAAGAAUACUCCAUGAUUCCAGGGCACAGAGCUGCAGUGCUGCCCCCGGUAUGCCUCAGCCUGCACUGCAGCUCAGAGGCAGCAACGGGGGCAACGCAAACCAGCUCUGUGUCUGAGAGCCUCUGCCUUGCUUUCUGGGGGAUGGCACAGCACUGACAGGACAUGCCAACAGCUGCAGGUGGUAGGGAUAGUGACGCACCCUGCCAGGCUCUCCAUGCCCUCCCUAGACACUUGGAGAAAGCACCCUUUCAUCUGUCCGAGGAAUCCUCGAGAAAUAGUCAUGCACUCUUAAUUCAGAUGUUAUAUAGUCAUAUCUAAUGGUAACAACGGCCGUCACUUGAAAACGGCUCCUGUGCACAUAUCUUCCAAGAACAGAUCACGGAAACGUUACCAGGUGACUGUCUUUACACGCUCUGCGUCAGCAAUGGGGAGCUGGCAUAAGCUUUUGGUUGGUGGUGUGAACCAUGCCAGCUCCCCGAAGCAAGCUUUCUUUUCUGUUGUUUGAAAUAUGGCAGGAGAGCUGUUUCUGGUUCAAGAGAAAUCAUUUUUGUACCAAUUUAAUUCAUGUCUCUAAAACCGAGGCAGGGAUGGCAUCACAGUCUGUUCCACGAAUUCCUACUCAUUUGGGGCCUUUCCAUGACAAAUCAUUUGUAAUGGAAUCUCUCCGAAGCACAGGGGGAAAAUCGAAGGCAUCACAGUGCCCUUUCCAUUUCAGUCAACUCCACCGGCCAGGAUUCCGUUUGCAGAACACGGGGCAAACACAGAACGGUGCCUGCCCAGCACACUCACUCCCUGUUAGCGCCUCUGUUCACCUGUGUUCUUUUAUAUGAGUGACCAUUUCCUAAAACGCAGUCACUGUCAAGU